rnacentral:rRNA from 1 species
AUUGAACGCUGGCGGCAGGCCUAACACAUGCAAGUCGAGCGGAUGAGGGGAGCUUGCUCCUUGAUUCAGCGGCGGACGGGUGAGUAAUGCCUAGGAAUCUGCCUGGUAGUGGGGGAUAACGUUCCGAAAGGAACGCUAAUACCGCAUACGUCCUACGGGAGAAAGCAGGGGACCUUCGGGCCUUGCGCUAUCAGAUGAGCCUAGGUCGGAUUAGCUAGUUGGUGAGGUAAUGGCUCACCAAGGCGACGAUCCGUAACUGGUCUGAGAGGAUGAUCAGUCACACUGGAACUGAGACACGGUCCAGACUCCUACGGGAGGCAGCAGUGGGGAAUAUUGGACAAUGGGCGAAAGCCUGAUCCAGCCAUGCCGCGUGUGUGAAGAAGGUCUUCGGAUUGUAAAGCACUUUAAGUUGGGAGGAAGGGCAGUAAGUUAAUACCUUGCUGUUUUGACGUUACCAACAGAAUAAGCACCGGCUAACUUCGUGCCAGCAGCCGCGGUAA